AGCUCCAAUAGCGUAUAUUAAAGUUGCUGCGGUUAAAAAGCUCGUAGUUGGAUCUCAGUCUUUGUUUUAAGGUCUGCCUUGAGGUAGUACUUUAUAAACUAGACAUCUUGCCGGCUCUCUCGGCUUGCACUUUAUUGUGUGUGUCGAGGGACUGGCGCGUUCACUUUGAAAAAAUUAGAGUGUUCAAGGCAGGCGUCACUAGCUUGAAUACAUGAGCAUGGAAUAAUGGAAUAGGACCUCGGUCCCUAUUUCGUUGGUUUUAUGGACCGAGGUAAUGAUUAAGAGGGACAGUUGGGGGCAUCCGUAUUUCGCAGUCAGAGGUGAAAUUCUUGGAUCUGCGAAAGACGAACAAGUGCGAAAGCAUUUGCCAAGAGUGUUUUCAUUAAUCAAGAACGAAAGU
rnacentral:rRNA from 1 species